rnacentral:rRNA from 1 species
CUGCGGCUGCCCGCAGGCCUGAAAACCAGUGGCGGGCUCGGUGUCACUCGGAGCGUAGUAGUAUCACCUCGCUCAGGGCGUGCUGCGGGUUCCGGCCGUUAAAACACCCAUUACCCCAAGGUUGACCUCGGAUCAGGUAGGAAUACCCGCUGAACUUAAGCAUAUCAAUAAGCGGAGGAAAAGAAACCAACAGGGAUUGCCCUAGUAACGGCGAGUGAAGCGGCAACAGCUCAAAUUUGAAAUCUGGCCUCGGCCCGAGUUGUAAUUUGUAGAGGAAGCUUUUGGCGCGGCACCUUCUGAGUCCCCUGGAACGGGGCGCCAGAGAGGGUGAGAGCCCCGUAUAGUUGGAUGCCUAGCCUCUGUAAAGCUCCUUCGACGAGUCGAGUAGUUUGGGAAUGCUGCUCAAAAUGGGAGGUAAAUUUCUUCUAAAGCUAAAUACCGGCCAGAGACCGAUAGCGCACAAGUAGAGUGAUCGAAAGAUGAAAAGCACUUUGAAAAGAGGGUUAAAUAGCACGUGAAAUUGUUGAAAGGGAAGCGCUUGUGACCAGACUUGCGCCGGGCUGAUCAUCCGGUGUUCUCACCGGUGCACUCUGCCCGGCUCAGGCCAGCAUCGGUUCUCGCGGGGGGACAAAGGCCCCGGGAACGUAGCUCCUUCGGGAGUGUUAUAGCCCGGGGCGUAAUGCCCUCGCGGGGACCGAGGUUCGCGCUCUGCAAGGAUGCUGGCGUAAUGGUCAUCAGCGACCCGUCUUGAAACACGGACCAAGGAGUCAAGGUUUUGCGCGAGUGUUUGGGUGUAAAACCCGCACGCGUAAUGAAAGUGAACGUAGGUGAGAGCUUCGGCGCAUCAUCGACCGAUCCUGAUGUAUUCGGAUGGAUUUGAGUAGGAGCGUUAAGCCUUGGACCCGAAAGAUGGUGAACUAUGCUUGGAUAGGGUGAAGCCAGAGGAAACUCUGGUGGAGGCUCGCAGCGGUUCUGACGUGCAAAUCGAUCGUCAAAUCUGAGCAUGGGGGCGAAAGACUAAUCGAACCAUCUAGUAGCUGGUUACCGCGA